rnacentral:rRNA from 1 species
UACGGGGGGGGCAAGCGUUGUUCGGAAUUACUGGGCGUAAAGGGCUCGUAGGUGGCCAACUAAGUCAGACGUGAAAUCCCCAGGCUCAACUUGGGAACUGCGUCUGAUACUGGAUGGCUUGAAUUCGGGAGAGGGAUGCAGAAUUCCAGGUGUAGCGGUGAAAUGCGUAGAUAUCUGGAGGAACACCGGUGGCGAAGGCGGUUCUCUGGGAAUAUCCUGACGCUGAGGAGCGAAAGUGUGGGGAGCGAACAGG